rnacentral:rRNA from 1 species
UACGGGGGGGGCAAGCGUUGUUCGGAAUUACUGGGCGUAAAGGGUUCGUAGGUGGCCUACUAAGUCAGACGUGAAAUCCCUCAGCUCAACUGGGGAACUGCGUCUGAGACUGGAAGGCUUGAGUGCAGGAGAGGAACGCGGAAUUCCAGGUGUAGCGGUGAAAUGCGUAGAUAUCUGGAGGAACACCGGUGGCGAAGGCGGCAUCCUGGACCGGCAUUGACGCUGAGGCGCGAAAGCCAGGGGAGCAAACGGG